rfam:Arabidopsis thaliana chromosome 1, complete sequence.
AUGUCCUCUAGAGUUCUCCUGAACACUUCAUUGGAAAUUUGUUAUUCAGUAAGCUAACAGUUAAUUCCACUGAAGUGUUUGGGGGAACUCCCGAUGUCAU